rnacentral:sRNA from 2 species
AUGAAAAAUUGUUAGGUGAGGCUCCUAUGCAAACAUAAGCCACUGCCCGGAAAUGUCGAGAGACACCAACGUGGUAGAACAGGAAUUGCCGGAUUAAGGCUCUUCAUAAGGUGGCUAAGAUGUACUCUUUACGUUGCACAGUGCUAAAACUCAACGAGGUUUUUGCUA